AUGUUGGAUGUUGCACAACCAACUUUCCACUUUUAUCACAAAAGUGAGAAGACUAGCGAAGUGGUUGGUGUCGGCGUGAAGAAACUUGAAGCUGCCAUGCAUGCAAAGUCUCCACAGGCGGCGACGACUAUAAUGAGGAUCACGGUAGCAGUGAAGUCAGAACCGGCAAGCAGGGAGGAGGGCAACCAGCUUGAAAGCAGACUUCAUCCCGAGAAAGACCCUACAUCUAAAGGCCGAUCAGCGCGUUGCCGAAGGCCCAGGUGGGUGCGUGGGCUGAUCCAGAUGUUGAAGAGCAGACUACAGCAAGGAGAAAACAGAAAAGUUGCCACAUGUAUUGCAGGUUGA
rnacentral:rRNA from 1 species